rnacentral:rRNA from 1 species
GGCGUAGGCGCAGGCGGUUAUACAAGACAGGCGUGAAAUCCCCGGGCUUAACCUGGGAAUGGCGCCUGUGACUGUAUAGCUAGAGUGUGUCAGAGGGGGGUAGAAUUCCACGUGUAGCAGUGAAAUGCGUAGAUAUGUGGAGGAAUACCAAUGGCGAAGGCAGCCCCCUGGGAUAACACUGACGCUCAUGCACGAAAGCGUGGGGAGCAAACAGGAUUAGAUACCCUAGU